rnacentral:rRNA from 1 species
UAAGGAAUAUUGGUCAAUGGACGCAAGUCUGAACCAGCCAUUCCGCGUGAAGGAUGAAGGUCCUCUGGAUUGUAAACUUCUUUUAUCUGGGACGAAAACGGGAUUUUUAUCUCAAUUGACGGUACCAGAGGAAUAAGCACCGGCUAACUCCGUGCCAGCAGCCGCGGUAAUACGGAGGGUGCGAGCGUUAUCCGGAUUUACUGGGUUUAAAGGGUGCGUAGGUGGGCUUAUAAGUCAGUGGUGAAAUCUCCGAGCUUAACUUGGAAACUGCCGUUGAUACUAUAGGUCUUGAAUUAUCUGGAGGUAAGCGGAAUAUGUCAUGUAGCGGUGAAAUGCUUAGAUAUGACAUAGAACACCAAUUGCGAAGGCAGCUUACUACAUAUAAAUUGACGCUGAGGCACGAAAGCGUGGGGAUCAAACA